rnacentral:rRNA from 1 species
GAGUUUGAUCCUGGCUCAGGAUGAACGCUGGCGGCGUGCCUAACACAUGCAAGUCGAGCGAGAAAUUAGCGGAAGAAACUUCGGUAGAAACUGUUAAUGGGAAGCGGCGGACGGGUGAGUAACGCGUAGGCAACCUGCCCCAUACAGGGGGAUAGCCACUGGAAACGGUGAUUAAUACCUCAUAAAGCUUAAGCUACCCAUGUAGAGUAAGCCAAAGAUUUAUCGGUAUGGGAUGGGCCUGCGUCUGAUUAGCUGGUUGGUGAGGUAACGGCUCACCAAGGCGACGAUCAGUAGCCGACCUGAGAGGGUGAACGGCCACAUUGGAACUGAGACACGGUCCAAACUCCUACGGGAGGCAGCAGUGGGGAAUAUUGCACAAUGGGGGAAACCCUGAUGCAGCAACGCCGUGUGAAUGAAGAAGGCCUUAGGGUCGUAAAAUUCUGUCCUAAGGGAAGAAAAAAAUGACGUACCUAGGAGAGC